UACGUAAGGACCGAGCGUUGUCCGGAAUCAUUGGGCGUAAAGGGUACGUAGGCGGCUAGAAAAGUUAGAAGUCAAAGGCUAUAGCUCAACUAUAGUAAGCUUCUAAAACUAUUUAGCUUGAGAAAUGGAAGGGAAAGUGGAAUUCCUAGUGUAGCGGUGGAAUGCGCAGAUAUUAGGAAGAAUACCGGUGGCGAAGGCGACUUUCUGGCCAUUAUCUGACGCUGAGGUACGAAAGCGUGGGUAGCAAACAGGAUUAGAUACCCCCGUAGUCC
rnacentral:rRNA from 2 species